rnacentral:rRNA from 1 species
CCUACGGGUGGCAGCAGUGAGGAAUAUUGGUCAAUGGGCGGAAGCCUGAACCAGCCAAGUCGCGUGAGGGAAUAAGGCCCUAUGGGUCGUAAACCUCUUUUGCCGGGGAGUAAGGGCGUGGACGUGUCCCGGCCCGGAGGGUACCCGGGGAAAAAGCAUGGGCUAAGCCGGUCCCACCAGCCGCGUUAAACCGGGGGAUGGGAGCGUUAUCGGGUUUUAUUGGGUUUAAGGGGUGCGUAGGCGGGCGUUUAAGCAAGCGGUAAAGAUUGGGGGCUCAACGUCGUACGGCCGUUGAAACUGGGGGCCGUGAGUGGGCGAGAAGAAGGCGGAAUGCGUGGUGUAGCGGUGAAAUGCAUAGAUAUCACGCAGAACCCCGAUUGCGAAGGCAGCCUUCCGGCGCCCUACUGACGCUGAGGCACGAAAGUGCGGGGAUCGAACAGGAUUAGAUACCCCUGUAGUC